CCUACGGGCGGCUGCAGUGGGGAAUAUUGGACAAUGGGGGGAACCCUGAUCCAGCCAUGCCGCGUGUGUGAAGAAGGCCCUCGGGGUGUAAAGCACUUUCAGUGAGGAAGAACGCCUGGUGGUUAAUACCCAUCAGGAAAGACAUCACUCACAGAAGAAGCACCGGCUAACUCCGUGCCAGCAGCCGCGGUAAUACGGAGGGUGCGAGCGUUAAUCGGAAUUACUGGGCGUAAAGCGCGCGUAGGUGGCUGGAUAAGCCGGUUGUGAAAGCCCCGGGCUCAACCUGGGAACGGCAUCCGGAACUGUCAAGCUAGAGUGCAGGAGAGGAAGGUAGAAUUCCCGGUGUAGCGGUGAAAUGCGUAGCGAUCGGGAGGAAUACCAGUGGCGAAGGCGGCCUUCUGGACUGACACUGACACUGAGGUGCGAAAGCGUGGGUAGCAAACAGGAUUAGAUACCCGGGUAGUC
rnacentral:rRNA from 1 species